GAGUGCGCAGCUAUUGGUAGAGCGACCGCUAGCCGGUGCAGGUUCGACUCCUGCCGCACUCG
rnacentral:tRNA from 1 species